AAGGCGAAUUUAUAUAAGGUGGUGUUACUACCCAGCCUCCUGGAGAAAUCUGACGCAUAAUCGUUUCAAGUCGUGCAACAAAAAUAUGCUUAAAGUCCAACACGCAUACAUGGAGAAUCAUGGCGUACAUACGCUUUGCCAUUUACUCGAAACAGAA